UACGGAGGGGGCGAGCGUUAUUCGGAAUUACUGGGCGUAAAGGGCGCGUAGGCGGCCAUCUAAGUCAGACGUGAAAUCCCUCGGCUCAACCGAGGAACUGCGUCUGAUACUGGAAGGCUUGAAUCCGGGAGAGGGAUGUGGAAUUCCAGGUGUAGCGGUGAAAUGCGUAGAUAUCUGGAGGAACACCGGUGGCGAAGGCGGCAUCCUGGACCGGUAUUGACGCUGAGGCGCGAAAGCUAGGGGAGCAAACGGG
rnacentral:rRNA from 1 species